rnacentral:lncRNA from 1 species
CUGAUCUUUACCUACCUUCCAUUAGAUCAAGUCAAAGAAACUAAGACAUGUGAGUGUGUGUUUGUGUGUUCCAGGUGGCAAAUGCUAUUGAAGCUGCUGGUUUGAAGGGAGAAAAAGGAGAUCGGGGUGAUGAGUGUUCUGACUCUCGUUCCAGCCCAUGCACAGAAGGACCCAAAGGCCAGAAGGGAAAGAAAGGCGAGCUGGUGAGUGCUGAUGUUUGGCCACAGGUUGCAGCAGUGUAUCCCAGAGCUAUCCAGUCCAGCAGCUAUAAAGUGAGAUUUUUUAUUCCAGAAAGUCCUUUUCGAGCAAUCUGCCCCAAGUUUUAAUGGAGCCAGGGAGCAGUAAUGUUCUUUUUUACAGUUCUUUUUUACCCGUUUGACAACAGAGAAUGUGUGGAUGGAUUUAAUAGACUUCUGACUGCUCAUGUGUUUACAAAUCUUUGUAUCUACUGGUAAUAAGACUCAGUAUUAUAUGUUCCACAAUGCCAAUGUAACAGUGCUGUAGUAACUGAUGCUUGACAUCAAGGGUUUAGGAGUCCAGACUUUGAGGUUGAAGCUUUUUGUCAUGUCAGAUUACUCUUCUGUGACUCUUUGACUUGUCCUUCCCUUGACAAAUUGCUGUUUUGAUACGUCUGCACAGUCUAAAAGUCUGCUUCUAUUCUAAAGGUCAAUGUUUAUGAAAGGAGCACAAGACCAGCGGGUUAUCCACACUGUUAUUGACCAUGUUGUGAGGGUUUAUGGGUUUUUGUCUGUUCUACAGUCCUGGAUCUGAGACUUGUCUCUUUUCUUUCUUUGCAGUCUGUGGCUCCCAACCUGGGCGAAGCGGUUUGGAAUAAGGUAAAGUUUCAGAGGAAAGAAUUGUUCAAUAAGGAAUGAAUAUUUGACUCUUCAGUGAUUGUUUUCAUGUUUUGAUUCUGUUUUAAAGGGAGAGAAAGGUCAGAAGGGAGAGAUCGGUCCACAGGGUCUGACUGGCACACCUGGGAAGAAUGUAGGUGUUUUGAACUUAAUUUGGGUUCAAGAUCAUUGACUGUAUGAGAGACCUGGACCAAGUCACCCCUCCCCCGUUGUGUUCCAAAUAGGAAGUACCCGCAG